rnacentral:rRNA from 1 species
ACUCCUACGGGAGGCAGCAGUGAGGAAUAUUGGUCAAUGGAGGGAACUCUGAACCAGCCAUCCCGCGUGUAGGAAGACGGCCUUAUGGGUUGUAAACUACUUUUAUACAGGAAGAAACGUACCCUCGUGAGGGUGCCUGACGGUACUGUAGGAAGAAGCACCGGCUAACUCCGUGCCAGCAGCCGCGGUAAUACGGAGGGUGCAAGCGUUAAUCGGAAUUACUGGGCGUAAAGCGU